rnacentral:misc_RNA from 1 species
GAAAUGCGAUAAGUAGUGUGAAUUGCAGAAUUCAGUGAAUCAUCGAAUCUUUGAACGCACAUUGCGCCCCUCGGUAUUCCGUGGGGCAUGCCUGUUCGAGCGUCAUCUACACCCUCAAGCUCUGCUUGGUGUUGGGCGUCUGUCCCGCCUCCGCGCGUGGACUUGCCCCAAAUUCAUUGGCAGCGGUCCUUGCCUCCUCUCGCGCAGCACAUUGCGCUUCUCGAGGGGCUACGGCUCGCGUCCAACAAGCACAUUUACCGUCUUUGACCUCGGAUCAGGUAGGGAUACCCGCUGAACUUAAGC